rnacentral:rRNA from 1 species
UACGUAGGCAGCAAGCGUUGUUCGGAAUUAUUGGGCGUAAAGAGUGUGUAGGCGGUGCUCCAAGUCUGUUGUGAAAUCUCCCGGCUUAACUGGGAGGGUGCGGCGGAAACUGGAAUGCUAGAGGGUGGGAGAGGUAAGCGGAAUUCCUGGUGUAGCGGUGAAAUGCGUAGAUAUCAGGAGGAACACCUGUGGUGUAGACAGCUUACUGGACCACUUCUGACGCUGAGACACGAAAGCGUGGGUAGCAAACAGG